rnacentral:rRNA from 1 species
AUUGAACGCUGGCGGCAGGCCUAACACAUGCAAGUCGAGCGAGCGGCGGACGGGUGAGUAAUGUCUGGGAAACUGCCUGAUGGAGGGGGAUAACUAAUGGAAAAGGUAGCUAAUACCGCAUACCAUCAGAUGUGCCCAGAUGGGAUUAGCUAGUAGGUGGGGUAACGGCUCACCCAGGCGACGAUCCCUAGCUGGGCUGAGAGGAUGACCAGCCACACUGCAACUGAGAGACGGUCCAGACUCCUACGGGAGGAAGCAGUGGUGAAUAUUGCACAAUGGGCGCAAGCGUGAUGCAGCCAUGCCGCGUGAGUGAAGAAGGCCUUCGGGUUGUAAAGCACUUUCAGCGGGGAGGCGUUACCCGCAGAAGAAGCACCGGCUAACUCCGUGCCAGCAGCGGCGGUAAUAC